CCAACGAGUUACGUUAAGUAGCAAGGUUAAGCACUUAAGGUGCGGAGCCGUAGCGAAAGCGAGUUUUAACUGAGCGUUCAGUUACUUGACGUAGACCCGAAACCGGGCGACCUACCCAUGAGCAGGAGGAAGCGAAAGUAAAAUUUCGUGGAGGUCCGAACCCACGAGCGUUGAAAAGCUCGGGGAUGACUUGUGGGUAGCGGUGAAAUUCCAAUCG
rnacentral:rRNA from 1 species